AGCUUUUUGAAUCAGUGCAAGCAUUUCGUCAGACAUCAACCCAUUAGGGCUGACCAGACUUCCAAGAUAAAUGAAGUU
rnacentral:pre_miRNA from 1 species